CUGGGAACCAGAGGCAGAAAGCAGCCUGGCUUUACGGAGGAAUUUAAGGGGCAGGAAGGGGGGGGCAUGUGGUUUGCUCCUCUUAGAGAAAAAUAUAUGUGACAGCUGCUGGCGUGUGAGCAGAGGCAGAGCGGAGGAGCAGUCCGGGACACGGUACAUACGUGUGACACGGUACAUACGUGUGUGUGGUGCUGGUCCUGACUCUACUAAUGACAAGCAAGGGCUGAAGGUCUUCACAGCUUCAAAGAGGGCAGUGUCUCCAUCCAUGAGGCUUCCAGAUGCUGCCCCCCCCACCCCCCGCUGACCUGCACACUGUCUGUCCCCUCUUGGAUCUCUCUGACCUUCAGACACACAGCCAUCGAGUGGCCCACUGGACAAGAGCCAGGAUGCCAGGCACUAAAGCCCCCAUUUGCAAAGUGGAAGCAGCCCAGUGAUCCCUUGAAGGUCCUGCGCUCUCCUCAGCUGGCCUGCUUCAUUUUAACUCGGUGUCUGCCAUCCGGGCCUUCCACCGACUGCUUCCUGCUCGCUCCUCACUGUCCUCCUUUGUCUCCCGCCCUGUCUGAUACCGACAUCUCCCUCAGUUAUACCUCAGAACCAGUUCCCAGGGAGAUAGCACGGAAGGGUACAGCCUUGGGGAAGCCGUGAAGACAGGAGAGCGCUGCCCCCUUGAACGGGGUAGCAUCCCUCUAACAAAGGCUGAGGAAGCUCCUUCCGGGGGAGGACAGGACAAGAGCGUCCCUCCAUGAGGCCUUCAAAUUCUGCUGGUGUCUUGAUCUUGGACUUGCUCGCGCUCAGAACUAGAG
rnacentral:lncRNA from 1 species